AGUCCUACCUUCUUUAAAAGUGGUCUUACUAUAGCUUGCUUCCAUUUUGAAGGGAAUACACCUUGUGUGAGAGAAAGAUUCACUAAGUUCAAAGGUAGGAGGUCCUGAAGAAAUGAUUUUAGGAUAUGCGUUAGUCAAGCAUAAGCAUGUCGUGCAUGAGUGUUAAAGUUAAAUUUUGGGAGCGUUAUUAAAUCCUUUUAAUCAAUUUAAUUAUACAAUAUCGUGUAGACAUGUGUAGCGGUGUUCAAAUCUCAUUGCAAAGUUGACAAUCAA